rnacentral:rRNA from 1 species
AGCGAACGCUGGCGGCAGGCUUAACACAUGCAAGUCGAACGGUCCUUCGGGAUAGUGGCGGACGGGUGAGUAACACGUGGGAACGUACCCUUAGGUUCGGAACAACACAGGGAAACUUGUGCUAAUACCGGAUGAGCCCUUCGGGGGAAAGAUUUAUCGCCUUUGGAGCGGCCCGCGUCUGAUUAGCUUGUUGGUGAGGUAAUGGCUCACCAAGGCUACGAUCAGUAGCUGGUCUGAGAGGAUGGCCAGCCACACUGGGACUGAGACACGGCCCAGACUCCUACGGGAGGCAGCAGUGGGGAAUCUUGCGCAAUGGGCGAAAGCCUGACGCAGCCGUGCCGCGUGGAUGAUGAAGGUCUUAGGAUUGUAAAAUCCUUUCACCGGGGACGAUAAUGACGGUACCCGGAGAAGAAGCCCCGGCUAACUUCGUGCCAGCAGCCGCAGUAA